rnacentral:rRNA from 1 species
GAUGAACGCUGGCGGCGUGCCUCAAACAUGCAAGUCGAGCGGGGCUAUGUAAUAUCGCAAGGUAGAACAUAGCCUAGCGGCGAACGGGUGAGUAACACGUGGGUAACCUGCCUGGAAGACAGGGAUAACGAUUCGAAAGGGUCGCUAAUACCUGAUAAUAUCCUUUCAUCGCAUGGUGAUAGGAAGAAAGGGGAAACCCGCUUUCAGAUGGGCCCGCGUCCCAUCAGCUAGUUGGUAAGGUAAAGGCUUACCAAGGCGACGACGGGUAGCCGGUCUGAGAGGAUGUACGGCCACACUGGGACUGAGAUACGGCCCAGACUCCUACGGGAGGCAGCAGUUGGGAAUCUUAGGCAAUGGACGAAAGUCUGACCUAGCGACGCCGCGUGAGGGAAGAAGGCCUUCGGGUUGUAAACCUCUGUCAUGGGGAAGAAGUAAGUGACGGUACCCCAAGAGGAAGCCCCUGCUAACUACGUG